UCCCAGGUGGCUCAAAGGUAAAGUGUCUGUCUGCAAUGCAGGAGACCUGGGUUCAAUCCCUGGGUUGGGAA
rnacentral:tRNA from 1 species